rnacentral:ribozyme from 1 species
AAAAAAAAGAAAAAAAAAAGCUGCUUCUCCAAGGGGACACGGCAUGCUAGUCCAGGGCUUCUAUUGUUUAUAAUUUACUUUUUCUUUCACUUUGUUGCGAUUAUCUUCCUAAAGGUGGGUAGGA